CGAGCCCCGAAGCCGGGUGGCCCGGCCCCCCGACCCCGCCUGGACCUGCGCUGGCCCAGGCCACGCCCGAACUCCGCUCCGGGACCGGCCGGACAGGGCUGCCCUCAGAGCCGAAGGGGGCCGCCCUGAAGCAUAAAGUUUACGUCCCAAAGUUUACACGGAUCGGACAUUUCCGUCCUGACGCUUUGUUUUGCCGUCUCCUCGGGGUCUGAGGCGUGCGGUGCUCCUUCCGAAGACCCCCGGCCUGCUGACCCUCUGAGUUGUCCUCAGCACACCUUCCACAACAGCACUUCCACCUCGUUUACACUGUUGCACACUCGUAACUCGAUAAAAUUACGUUUUUUUACAUGUAUGUUCACACCAAUAAUUGCCUGCUUCAGAGGCUGAUAUAACAAAACCAAUAAACCGAGUGAUGGUGUUUGCAUUGCAAAA